rnacentral:rRNA from 1 species
CAGCAGCCGCCGCGGGAAUACGAAGGGUGCAAGCGUUACUCGGAAUUACUGGGCGUAAAGCGUGCGUAGGUGGUGGUUUAAGUCCGUUGUGAAAGCCCUGGGCUCAACCUGGGAAUUGCAGUGGAUACUGGGUCACUAGAGUGUGGUAGAGGAUAGUGGAAUUUCCGGUGUAGCAGUGAAAUGCGUAGAGAUCGGAAGGAACAUCUGUGGCGAAGGCGACUAUCUGGGCCAACACUGACACUGAGGCACGAAAGCGUGGGGAGCAAACAGGAUUAGAUACCCCCGUAGUCCCUGUCUCUUAUAC